UACGUAGGGUGCAAGCGUUGUCCGGAAUUAUUGGGCGUAAAGAGCUCGUAGGCGGUUUGUUGCGUCGGCUGUGAAAUCCCGAGGCUCAACCUCGGGUCUGCAGUCGAUACGAGCAAACUAGAGUGUUGCAGGGGAGACUGGAAUUCCUGGUGUAGCGGUGAAAUGCGCAGAUAUCAGGAGGAACACCUGCGGCGAAGGCGGGUAGCUGGGCCGACACUGACGCUGAGGCGCGAAAGCCAGGGGAGCGAACGGG
rnacentral:rRNA from 1 species